CUGACCUCGAAUCAGGUGGGACUACCCGCUGAACUUAAG
rnacentral:rRNA from 1 species